rnacentral:rRNA from 1 species
UACGUAGGUGGCAAGCGUUGUCCGGAUUUACUGGGCGUAAAGAGCGCGCAGGCGGUCGUUCAAGUCGCGUGUGAAAGCCCCCGGCUCAACUGGGGAGGGUCACGCGAUACUGAUCGACUCGAAGGCAGGAGAGGGUAGUGGAAUUCCCGGUGUAGUGGUGAAAUGCGUAGAUAUCAGGAAGAACACCUAUGGCGAAGGCAGCUCUCUGGGACGGUACUGACGCUGAGACGCGAAAGCGUGGGGAGCGAACAGG